UUUUCUCAAGACUCGCAGGUGAGUACAGUUUAUUCAGUUAUGCAUUUCUUAUUAUUGUUGCAGUGGACUUUAUUACGUUGCUUAUUGUUGGUUAUUACAGUUUAUUCAGCUAUGCAUUACAGGAGACUAUACUCUAGGUUAUUGCUGGUUGAGGCCGUCGGGAGAUUCCAAUCGCUUGCCCCAUUAUCGUGACGAUUUUCAGUUGUAGACUUUUAUUUUCUUUUCUAUGUCUUUACAUACUUGUGAUGUGGGUGUUGGACCGUUGCGGCCGGCUAGGAGGGGGUUGGAUAUCCUGCAAACACAAAAAGACAAACCCUCCUCGAACUCUUUAAA